GGGUGUUUGAUGGUGUGUUCCUCUCCAUGGCCCAUCCUCCCAACAACUGAAAUGACACAAAAUCCUAAAAAGCAUCAGAUACAUUAAAAAUUAACUAGGUAUUUUUAAUUACAAAAAUGUGAGUCAAGCACUGAAGGGGUUUAAUAAACUAGUGUCAGCCUGAGGAGAGCGAGUAGGCCAAAGCCAGCUAGAAUUAGUGGGCCAAAGCUAGUGUCAGCCUGAGGAGGGUGAGUAGGCCGAAGCCUGUUAGAGUUAGUGGGCCAAAGCUAGUGUCAGCCUGAGGAGAGCGAGUAGGCCAAAGCCAGCUAGAAUUAGUGGGCCAAAGCUAGUGUCAGCCUGAGGAGAGCAAGUAGGCCGAAGCCUGUUAGAGUUAGUGGGCCAAAGCUAGUGUCAGCCUGAGGAGAGUGAAUAGGCCAAAGCCAGCUAGAAUUAGUGGGCCAAAGCUAGUGUCAGCCUGAGGAGGGUGAGUAGGCCGAAGCCUGUUAGAGUUAGUGGGCCAAAGCUAGUGUCAGCCUGAGGAGAGCGAGUAGGCCGAAGCCAGCUAGAAUUAGUGGGCCAAAGCUAGUGUCAGCCUGAGGAGAGUGAAUAGGCCAAAGCCAGCUAGAAUUAGUGGGCCAAAGCUAGUGUCAGCCUGAGGAGAGCGAGUAGGCCGAAGCCUGUUAGAGUUAGUGGGCCAAAGCUGGUGUCAGCCUGAGGAGGGUGAGUAGGCCGAAGCCUGUUAGAGUUAGUGGGCCAAAGCUAGUGUCAGCCUGAGGAGAGCGAGUAGGCCAAAGCCAGCUAGAAUUAGUGGGCCAAAGCUAGUGUCAGCCUGAGGAGUUUUAGAACACCAGUGUGAGAAGCUUCGGUGAGAGAAGCUCCAGCGUGAAGGCUACUGUGUGUAAAGCUAAUGUGAGAGAAGCUCCAGGUUGAAGGCCUCAUAUGUGAAACUCCAGUGUAAAGGCUGUUGUGUAUAAAAGCUACUGUGUGGAACUCCUGUGUAAAUUCGGCAUAAGAGGAGGCUCUGUGAGACCAAAGCUGUUUAUCUCAAUGAGAAAGAAGCCCAGCAUGGAAGUAAAGAAGGAAAUACGGUAGAGUCUCAUUUAUCCAACAUUCGUUUAUCCAAUGUUCAGGAUUAUCCAAUGCAGUUUGCCUCCUGCCCGGAUCCACAGUUGUUUCUCUAGACAGCAAGGAUUGAACUUUUUAUGGAUUUAAUUUCCAACAACGUUGUUACUAUAUGACAUCACAGAAAUCUAACAUCGAAAACAACACCAUGGAACAGCAAAAAGCGUAUGGAUCGAGAUCAACGUACAACAGAAACCUAUAAUGAUAGAAUCACAGAACCACAGAGUUGGUCGAGAGCCCAAGGGCCCUCCAGUCUAAUCCUAUUCUGCCAUGAAGGAGCACACAAGCAAAGCACUCCAAUAGAUGGCCAUCCAGCCUUUGUUUAAAAACUUCCAGAGAAGGAGACUCCAUUGCACUCUGAGGCAACAUAUUCCAGUUGAAUAGCUAUUACUGUCAGGAAGUAUUUUCUAAUGUUUAGGUGGAAUCUAAAUAUUGUCAACCAUUGUCAACCAUGAGAAGUGCAAUGCCUGCAUGUUACCCUUAAAUAUGGAUUUUCCCAUUUGUUGCUCUGUUAGUGUAACCCUUAAGUGAGCAAGUCAAUCCUUGGCGUGACACACAGAAUUAGCUGGCAAUCAUUAGGCUGAAGCAAGUCUUAAACAUCUCAGCGGGAAUUUCAUUCCAGUAAACACUGUGUCGCUACAAAUGCAAUAUGGUUAUUGGAAAAUUAAAGCAAAACGUCUCCCCUUGUACUAUUCAAACACUUGGAAAAUAUUCUCAGAAUUAAAAAUUGCACAGCAGUUA